AAUAGAUACCCGGGUAGUCCACGCCGUAAACCGAUGAGUGCUAGGUGUUAGGGGGUUUCCGUCCCCUUAGGUGCUGCAGCUAACGCAUUAAGCACCCCCGCCUAGGGAGUACGGUCGCAAGACUGAAACUCAAAGGAAUUGACGGGGGCCCGCACAAGCGGUGGAGCAUGUGGUUUAAUUCGAAGCAACGCGAAGAACCUUACCAGGUCUUGACAUCCCGCUGACCGCCAUGGAGACAUGGCUUUCCCCUUCGGGGACAGCGGUGACAGGUGGUGCAUGGUUGUCGUCAGCUCGUAUCGUGAGAUGUUGGGUUAAGUCCCGCAACGAGCGCAACCCUUGUCCUUAGUUGCCAUCAUUCAGUUGGGCACUCUAAGGAGACUGCCGUACAAAUACGGAGGAAGGUGGGGAUGACGUCAAAUCAUCAUGCCCCUUAUGACCUGGGCUACACACGUGCUACAAUGGGUGGUACAAAGGGCAGCAAACCCGCGAGGGGGAGCGAAUCCCAAAAAGCCACUCUCAGUUCGGAUUGCAGG
rnacentral:rRNA from 1 species